AGUUGACGGAGGUGACUGGUGGAAAGGUGUGCGGGUUGGUGCGCGCGCCGCCCCUGGAUGAGGUCCCUAUAUAUGCUUGGGUACGGAUCCGAGGGGCAGUUGUCCUCACAUCUUCAUCAUGCACUUCCGUGCCCUCUUCUUCCUGGUGGUCCUGGCAGUCUUCGCCGCAUAUGUCGGCGCUGACCCCUUACGUCUGGGCCAGGGUGGUCAUGGGAUCCGUACUACAGUUCGACCAGGCGGUGGUGGUCAUGGAAUCCAUAUUGACGGCCCAAGUGGUGGAUUUAACGGUGGCGGAAUUCGCCAUCAAGGCUAAAAUCAUAGUGGCUGUAAUGGUCAUAAAGGUCGUAUGAGUGGAGGUGAGGAGCCUGGCUGAGGGACACCCGUCACCU